AUUCGGUUCCAAAGCCAGCUUGUCUCUUGACAAAGCUGCUUCCUCAGUUUCUCCGCAGCGCACUCAUAUGCCGCCGUAAUCGGAGCACAGUGUUUUAAUUGUAAUUUUGUUUUUUCAGACAGGGCCUCACAGUCAGUCCAAACUGGUCUUGAACCAAUGGGACCCUCUGCCUCGGGAGCGCCGGGAGGAAAAGCUUGCGCCACCACACCCGGUUUAUUUUCUGAUUUGAAAACUACCAUCACUGAGUAAUGCUUCAGUCUGCACGCAGAAGCCUAGUGCUUUUCCUUCACCCAGAUGAAGAAUCGGCCCCGCGGGGCACCGCUGCGAGUCAAUCGGUUUCCCGGGAGAAAACAGGGCAGGGAUCUGAUAAGACACUGAAGGCACAGCAGAAGCUGCAUCAGGGGCGGGUGAUCGGUGACAGCAGCUGCCGCCGUGGGGCUCGCCACGACAAAGCUGCUACUGCUUCUCCUGCUCCCCUCUCGGAGUCAGGGCUCUGCGCAACAAACCAGCGCUCAGGAACGCCCCACAGCCCCGGCUGAGCAGGGAGACCCGAAACUCGAAACCCAACUCCGCCCGGGCCAGCCCCCGAGACUCUCACCGGCGGGCUCCCCUCCCCCCAGGGAGCGCCGCCGCCCACGCCCGCCCGCGGCGGCCUCUGCGUUUGUUUCCCGGAUCCAUGCACCACCCAACAUCCUCCACGAUUCCCCUCCCCCUGCAGAGGACCGCACUGCGCCUGCGCCACUCUUCUCCCCCUCCCUGCCCCGACCACGUCCACCCUGCUAUCGGCUCCGCCCCACUCCCUGUAGACCAAUCCCAGUUCCCGAUCUGGGGGCAUCACAUUGGUGCUUCGCAGACGCGCCUGUCUGUCUGUGGCGGCCGUCUUCAGGAACGUGGCACUCCAAGGAUGCCAUCCACGGUGACGCUGGGAAUGGCAGUGGCAGGUGCCACAGAGGGGGCUACCAGCACUGCUAUUCCAGAUGGGGGCGGACGCAGGCCUGGGCGUGGCUGGGCUCGGCGCUCGCUCCUCCAUCCGGAAGUGCUCUGCCCGGAAGUGGCUCGACCCGGAAGUGCUCACGCGCUUCCCGGAAGCGCGCAACAGAGGUGACGCCCGUUAAACCGCAGCUUUGUGAAAGCCUCCCGCGGGCGAUGAAGCCGCACGCAGCCAUUUUUACUUUCCGGCGCGCGGUGCGCAGGGCGAGUCCUGCCUGUCGCACGCUCCUUCGCGAGGCUAGCCUAGCCACAUUGCUUAGUCGGGGCUGUGCUUUCGCUGGCGCGUGCCUCAUAACUCUGUUCGCCCACGCGCAGGGCCGCGGUUGCCCGGUGCGCCAUCUGCCGGCCACUAGACCACUGCGCCGCGACAGUCCACGCGGAGCCCGACCGGAAGCCUGUGCGCGCCGCCGAUUUCGCUCAUGCGCAUAUGGGCAGGAGGGGAGUCCUGGCCCGCGGGCGCGCCCCAGUGGCCACGCAGGGCGGCCUGCAGCGCAAGGACGCCGCGGGAACUGCGGAGGCUUUUGUGUUUUGAGCUGGUUGGCCACGUAG
rnacentral:lncRNA from 1 species